GGCGGGUUCUCAAUCUUCUAGGGCAGUGAAUACACGUCUGCUCCCGUUCAGGCCAGUUUUAAUUAUUUAAUUUUUUGGAUUUAUCUGCAUGCUAUAAUCUUAAUUAUUUGAUAAUUUUCCAACAACCUCCCAUACCAGAUCCGGAUAACUCGCUCCGGCGACCUUGAGACCAUCGGGAGUUUAAUUAUGGUUAUAAUGGAAGCGCAAAGGAAAGCAACACCUAACAUGCAACGCGAAGAUGUAUUUGCUGUUCAGUCUGUUGUCACCUUCGCGGGAGGCGCUAUGAAGGACAUUACUCAUGAUAUGGUAAUUUAAACAAAAAUAUAGACCCAAUGGCUUUGCUUUUCUUCGUUAUGCCACCGAAUCAAAACUUUGUUAGCCUGGAGUGCUAGAAGGCACUAUGGUCGCCGCAUGCCCGCACAUCCUUUUGGGUGAAUGUAUUAUUUAUGUAUACAAUUUAUGUAAGCAAUUUAUGUAUCGCUCUAGUAUUUUGGUGAAUGUAUUAUUUGAAUAUAAUUAGAUUUGAUAUUGGAAUAUAAUUAGAUUGUGUUG